rnacentral:lncRNA from 1 species
UUAAAUAUAUACAUCUAUGUAUUUACUUUUUUACGUUGCGCGUAGGCAUCAUUAUUUAAAUCAUUACAUUUUUGGUGAUAUAUACAUACAUGUGUAUAUAUAUUUUUUUAACCAAUUCUAUGCAUAUACAUAAUUUCAUUUCAGUUUUCAGAAAACGCUUGUAUUAACAAAAAAAACAUAUUUAGUUAUGUAUUCUUAUUUGUGUACAAUUUUAAAUAAAUAUUAUUUUUUAUGUUUUAAUUAAAAGACAAUCAUCCCAAAAAAAAAAAAAAAAAAAAAAAAAAAAAAAAAAAAAAAAAAAAAAAAGAAUGCACACAAAAAUAUUCACAUAUAUAUGCAAUAUAUGCAUAUAUAUAUAAAAGUAUAUUUUUUUUUUUUUUUUUUUUUUGUCAAUAUUCUUAUAAAAGCAAGCAAAAAAAAAAAAAAAAAAAAAAAAAAAAAACAUUGAUGAUGAAAAUUAUGCAAAACCAAUGGAUGUAACAAAAGCAUUAAGAUGCUUUACGUUAUAUACUAAGACCUAAUUUCCCUCAUGUAUUGUUUUUACAUAUUUUAUCUUCUUCCCAUCUUUCUAUCUUUUCUUUUCUCUCGCUAUAAAUAUAAUUAGCUAGCUAGUUAGUGAUUUGGGUAAGUAUAUUAUGUUUAAUCCCAUCUGCAUAUUUAGUUACCCAGCUUCAUAUACAUGUGUAUAUAGGGCGUACGCAUUAUCACUUCGACAUGCAUUAUUAUAUAUUAUUAUAUAAUUGUUUGGUUGGCUCACGUCGUUUUUAUAUGUGUGUAAUGUGUAUAUAAACACAAAUUUGUGUCACACAACAAGAAAGGGCUGAAUUUUUACAAAAACAGAAAAAAAAAUAGAAAAAAAAAAAAAAAUAGAAUAAAAAAGGUAAAAAAAAAAAAAACGAAAAAAAAAAAUAUAGGCUAAACAAUGCUAAAAAAAAAAAAAAAAAAAAACGGUAUUUUCCAUUUUUAUCCAAGUUGGAAAUUUUAUUUUUUAAUACAUAACAUAUAUGUAUGUGUAGUUCUUUUUUUUUUUCACAUAAUUUUAUAUUUUUAUUGUUUAAAUUUUCAUCACAUUUUUUUUUUGGCGUUUUAAUAUUUGUUAUAGUGCUAUAAAACACUAUAAUAAAGGUACACAUCAAUACGUUCA